CUACGGGUGGCUCCAGUGGGGAAUAUUGCACAAUGGGCGCAAGCCUGAUGCAGCAACGCCGCGUGAGGGAUGACGGUCUUCGGAUUGUAAACCUCUGUCUUUGGUGAAGAAACAAAUGACGGUAGCCAAGGAGGAAGCCACGGCUAACUACGUGCCAGCAGCCGCGGUAAUACGUAGGUGGCAAGCGUUGUCCGGAAUUACUGGGUGUAAAGGGAGCGCAGGCGGGACUGCAAGUUGGAUGUGAAAUGCUGAGGCUUAACCUCAGAGCUGCAUCCAAAACUGUAGUUCUUGAGUGGAGUAGAGGUAAGCGGAAUUCCGAGUGUAGCGGUGAAAUGCGUAGAUAUUCGGAGGAACACCAGUGGUGAAGGCGGCUUACUGGGCUCUAACUGACGCUGAGGCUCGAAAGUGUGGGGAGCAAACAGGAUUAGAUACCCGGGUAGUC
rnacentral:rRNA from 1 species